GAAACCUCAUCUUGCUCACGCGCCAUCCGGGCGCUAAGAGCGGUGUUUUUCCUGAGGGAAAGCAUAGGCACUCCGCCUGGAUGAGGAGAGAGU
ncrna:unclassified sequences RAGATH-10 RNA